rnacentral:tRNA from 1 species
GCGGACAUGGCGGAAUUGGCAGACGCACCAGAUUUAGGAUCUGGCGGGAAACCGUGGAGGUUCAAGUCCUCUUGUCCGCACCA